rnacentral:rRNA from 1 species
GACGAACGCUGGCGGCGUGCUUAACACAUGCAAGUCGAGCGAUGAAGUUCCUUCGGGAACGGAUUAGCGGCGGACGGGUGAGUAACACGUGGGUAACCUGCCUCAUAGAGGGGAAUAGCCUUCCGAAAGGAAGAUUAAUACCGCAUAAGAUUGUAGUACCGCAUGGUACAGCAAUUAAAGGAGCAAUCCGCUAUGAGAUGGACCCGCGUCGCAUUAGCUAGUUGGUGAGGUAACGGCUCACCAAGGCGACGAUGCGUAGCCGAACUGAGAGGGUGAUCGGCCACAUUGGGACUGGGACACGGCCCAGACUCCUACGGGAGGCAGCAGUGGGGAAUAUUGCACAAUGGGGGAAACCCUGAUGCAGCAACGCCGCGUGAGUGAUGACGGUCUUCGGAUUGUAAAACUCUGUCUUCAGGGACGAUAAUGACGGUACCUGAGGAGGAAGCCACGGCUAACUACGUGCCAGCCGCCGCCGUAAUAC